GACGAACGCUGGCGGCGUGCCUAAUACAUGCAAGUUGAGCGAUGAAGAUUGGUGCUUGCACCAAUUUGAAGAGCAGCGAACGGGUGAGUAACGCGUGGGGAAUCUGCCUUUGAGCGGGGGACAACAUUUGGAAACGAAUGCUAAUACCGCAUAAUAACUUUAAACAUAAGUUUUAAGUUUGAAAGAUGCAAUUGCAUCACUCAAAGAUGAUCCCGCGUUGUAUUAGCUAGUUGGUGAGGUAAAGGCUCACCAAGGCGAUGAUACAUAGCCGACCUGAGAGGGUGAUCGGCCACAUUGGGACUGAGACACGGCCCAAACUCCUACGGGAGGCAGCAGUAGGGAAUCUUCGGCAAUGGACGAAAGUCUGACCGAGCAACGCCGCGUGAGUGAAGAAGGUUUUCGGAUCGUAAAACUCUGUUGGUGGAGAAGAACGUUGGUGAGAGUGGAAAGCUCAUCAAGUGACGGUAACUACCCAGAAAGGGACGGCUAACUACGUG
rnacentral:rRNA from 1 species